GGGGCUUCCUGAUCCUAGGUGUUAUGUUGAGUGUUGUUCUUUGGUCUCUAGGAACUCUGAGCAGCAGCAGGGCACCUAUAGAGCUGCUGACUUGGAUUGUCCUGUGGCCAUAUUCACUGUCAUCUUGAUAUUACUGGUGAACCUGAUGCACAGGCUCCAAUGCUGGACGUCUCGCUACCCACCGGGCCCCGUGCCAUGGCUUGUGCUGGGUAACCUGCUGCAGGCAGACCUACAUAACAUGACAUACAACUUAUACAAGCUUCAAAAUUGGUGUGGUGAUGUGUUCAGCCUGCAGAUGAUCAGCAAGCCUGUGGUCGUGAUCAAGGGACUGAAUGCGGUGGGGGAAUUUGCUGGUGUCCUGUGGAGAGGGCACUGCUGAGUGGCCUGAAAUACCCAUCUUUCAUCACAUAGUCUGUGGGCCCAAAACUAAAGGCAAAACGCUGUGUUGGGAGCAGAGAUGGGAUCAUAACCAGACAUGGGAAACUGAGCAGAAGAAGAUCAGGGCAUAAUGCAGGAGGUAAUUUAGAUAAGAUUUUUAAAAAACCACUGAAAUCCAAUUGGCCCUCCUUAUCAUGCUCGAGUAUGGUAGAGAUGUGUUUGGGAGGAAUGUGUGAGAUUAUGGGGGACACUGAUCCCAGAAGAGAAGAGAAAUGAAGGGGGGAGAGGGCAGCACACCCAGAUAUUCUUGGUUACACAUAGACGUACCUGCAGGUGUGAUCCUUGCACCUUAAGGGUGUGAGUGGCGAGAGCAGAGGUUCUGUGUCUAUCCUGUGUAACUUCAGCCUGGGCAAGAAAUCACUGGAACAGUGUGUGAUGGAGAAGGCUGGCCACAUCUGUGAUGCCUUCACUGUCCAGGCUGGUGGGUGAUGGAUGUGGACAAUAUUCUGACUUUUACCUGCAUCUCCACUCCCAGGGAGUUCCCUCAAUCCUUUGUCCCUCCUGGACAAAAGCUUGUGUAAUGUGGUUGCAUACCUCAUUUAUGCCCAUGAAUCAGCACCAGGCAGGAAAUUUGUUGGGUAGUAGGCAUGGGGAAGUAAAGGGGGUGGGAAAGAACCCACGUCUCACCAGAAUUCCCAUGAGCACACUCUCCAUGUGACCCUGGGUGGGUGUCUGACUGUGUGAAUCUAUGGACCCAGUCCACAAGGGGUGGACAGGGGGCAUUCCAAGGUCUCUGGGCCUCAUGGAUGCCAGAGAUAACAGGUUCUCAGUCUUAGACAUCUCAGAUGCCAUUGUAUGUCAUGGAAGAGCUGAGAACAAAGUGGGGGCUCGGUCAGUCCCAGGGCCAAAAGGAGAGGGCAGGGGGGAGAGGGCGGGCACUUGGUGGUUUCCAUGCUGGUGAGAGUCCUUGGUCUUGUCCAUGGCUGGAGUGCAGGAAGGCCUUCUGGCGGGAGGUUAGAUGCAGCACUUUAGGGGAAAGCCUACUCCAUCGCUCAAGCAUGGCGGGCUUUGAUGAGCAGAGAGUCUAUGAUUUUAGAGCUUUAUUGUAGAAAGGCAGAGAGAAAGACAAAAGGUAAAAGAAA
rnacentral:lncRNA from 1 species